UACGUAGGGUGCGAGCGUUGUCCGGAAUUAUUGGGCGUAAAGGGCUCGUGGGCGGUCUGUCGCGUCGGGAGUGAAAACUCAGGGCUUAACCCUGAGCCUGCUUCCGAUACGGGCAGACUAGAGGUAUGCAGGGGAGAACGGAAUUCCUGGUGUAGCGGUGAAAUGCGCAGAUAUCAGGAGGAACACCGGUGGCGAAGGCGGUUCUCUGGGCAUUACCUGACGCUGAGGAGCGAAAGUGUGGGGAGCGAACAGG
rnacentral:rRNA from 1 species